rfam:Trichobilharzia regenti genome assembly, scaffold: TRE_scaffold0032003
AUCCAGCUGACGAGCCAGUCCCAAAUAGGACGAAAUGUGCGUUAUCCUGGAU